GUCGAACGGUUGGUAGCAAUACCAAUAGUGGCGCACGGGUGCGUAACGCGUAACCAACCUACCCGAAUCUGGGGGAUAGCCCGCCGAAAGGCGGAUUAAUACCGCAUAAAACUGCAGCCUGGCAUCGGGUAACAGUUAAAGAUUUAUUGGAUUCGGAUGGGGUUGCGUGCCAUUAGCUAGUUGGGGGGGUAACGGCCCACCAAGGCGACGAUGGCUAGGGGAGCUGAGAGGCUGGUCCCCCACACGGGCACUGAGAUACGGGCCCGACUCCUACGGGAGGCAGCAGUAGGGAAUAUUGGGCAAUGGUCGAGAGACUGACCCAGCCAUGCCGCGUGCAGGAUGAAGGCUUUCUGAGUCGUAAACUGCUUUUACCAGGGAAGAAAAAAGGGGAUGCGUCCUCUACUGACGGUACCUGGUGAAUAAGCACCGGCUAACUCCGUGCCAGCAGCCGCGGUAAUACGGAGGGUGCAAGCGUUGUCCGGAUUUAUUGGGUUUAAAGGGUGCGUAGGCGGCUGAUUAAGUCUGGGGUGAAAGCCCGUUGCUCAACAACGGAACUGCCCUGGAAACUGGUUAGCUUGAGUACAGACGAGGGUGGCGGAAUGGAUACUGUAGCGGUGAAAUGCAUAGAUAGUAUCCAGAACCCCGAUUGCGAAGGCAGCUGCCUAGACUGUAACUGACGCUGAGGCACGAAAGCGUGGGGAGCGAACAGGAUUAGA
rnacentral:rRNA from 1 species